AACGAACGCUGGCGGCAUGCCUAACACAUGCAAGUCGAACGAGACCUUCGGGUCUAGUGGCGCACGGGUGCGUAACGCGUGGGAACCUGCCCUUAGGGUCGGAAUAACUCCCCGAAAGGGGUGCUAAUACCGGAUAAUGUCUUCGGACCAAAGAUUUAUCGCCUUUGGAUGGGCACGCGUUGGAUUAGCUAGUUGGUAGGGUAAAAGCCUACCAAGGCGACGAUCCAUAGCUGGUCUGAGAGGAUGAUCAGCCACACUGGGACUGAGACACGGCCCAGACUCCUACGGGAGGCAGCAGUGGGGAAUAUUGCACCGUGGGCGAAAGCCUGAUCCAGCAAUGCCGCGUGAGUGAUGAAGUCCUUAGGGUUGUAAAGCUCUUUUACCCGGGAUGAUAAUGACAGUACCGGGAGAGUAAGCUCCGGCUAACUCCGUG
rnacentral:rRNA from 1 species